rnacentral:rRNA from 1 species
CUGGCUUUACUGAUUCCUCCUUCUUGACGAACCGUGAUGUCAUUAAUUUGGUGUUGCGGGAAAUCAGGACUGUUACUUUGAAAAAAUUAGAGUGUUUAAAGCAGGCUAACGCUUGAAUACAUUAGCAUGGAAUAAUGAAAUAGGACGUUAAUCCUAUUUUGUUGGUUUCUAGGAUCGACGUAAUGAUUAAUAGGGAUAGUUGGGGGCAUUAGUAUUCAAUUGUCAGAGGUGAAAUUCUUGGAUUUAUUGAAGACUAACUACUGCGAAAGCAUUUGCCAAGGAUGUUUUCAUUAAUCAAGAACGAAAGUUAGGGGAUCGAAGACGAUCAGAUACCGUCGUAGUCUUAACCAUAAACUAUGCCGACUAGGGAUCGGAUGAUGUUAUUUUUAAAGAGUCACUCUCCGCCCUAUA